rfam:Candidatus Halobonum tyrrellensis G22 contig00034, whole genome shotgun sequence.
GCCGAGGGAGCAUGGGCGGUGCAUGCACUCGACUUGUAAUCGAGACUUCGUGGGUUCGAAUCCCACCCUCGGCU